AGCUUUGCGCAGUGUCAGUAUUGUAGCCAAUGAGGUUUAUCCAAGGCCUGAUUAUUGCUAAUUGAAAAAAAUAAAGGCAAAAUACAUUUUAAAUGCAUAUGCUGAAUUAAUGCAUUAGAAACUAUGUGGAUAAUAUAAAAACAU